rnacentral:rRNA from 1 species
UACAGAGGUCCCAAGCGUUGUUCGGAUUCACUGGGCGUAAAGGGUGCGUAGGUGGCCAGGUAAGUUUGGUGUGAAAGCUCGGAGCUUAACUCCGAAAAGUCAUUGAAUACUAUCUGGCUGGAGGGUCGGAGGGGAGACUGGAAUUCUCGGUGUAGCAGUGAAAUGCGUAGAUAUCGGGAGGAACAUCAGUUGCGAAGGCGGCUCUCUGGACCAGCACUGACACUGAGGCACGAAAGCGUGGGGAGCAAACAGG